rnacentral:rRNA from 1 species
UACACUCCUGCGGGAGGCAGCAGUGAGGAAUAUUGGACAAUGGGUGGAAGCCUGAUCCAGCCAUCCCGCGUGCAGGAAGACGGCCCUAUGGGUUGUAAACUGCUUUUAUCUGGGGAUAAACCUACUUACGUGUAAGUAGCUGAAGGUACCAGAAGAAUAAGCACCGGCUAACUCCGUGCCAGCAGCCGCGGUAAUACGGAGGGUGCAAGCGUUAUCCGGAUUUAUUGGGUUUAAAGGGUCCGUAGGCGGACUGAUAAGUCAGUGGUGAAAUCCGACAGCUUAACUGUCGAACUGCCAUUGAUACUGUUAGUCUUGAGUAAGGUUGAAGUGGCUGGAAUAAGUAGUGUAGCGGUGAAAUGCAUAGAUAUUACUUAGAACACCAAUUGCGAAGGCAGGUCACUAAGUCUUAACUGACGCUGAUGGACGAAAGCGUGGGGAGCGAACAGGAUUAGAAACCCUUGUAGUCCCAUGA